rnacentral:rRNA from 1 species
AGUGAACGCUGGCGGUAGGCCCAACACAUGCAAGUCGAACGGCAGCACAGUAAGAGCUUGCUCUUACGGGUGGCGAGUGGCGGACGGGUGAGGAAUACAUCGGAAUCUACUUUUUCGUGGGGGAUAACGUAGGGAAACUUACGCUAAUACCGCAUACGACCUACGGGUGAAAGCAGGGGAUCUUCGGACCUUGCGCGAUUGAAUGAGCCGAUGUCGGAUUAGCUAGUUGGCGGGGUAAAGGCCCACCAAGGCGACGAUCCGUAGCUGGUCAGAGAGGACGAUCAGCCACACUGGAACUGAGACACGGUCCAGACUCCUACGGGAGGCAGCAGUGGGGAAUAUUGGACAAUGGGCGCAAGCCUGAUCCAGCCAUACCGCGUGGGUGAAGAAGGCCUUCGGGUUGUAAAGCCCUUUUGUUGGGAAAGAAAAGCAGCAGGUUAAUACCCCGCUGUUCUGACGGUACCCAAAGAAUAAGCACCGGCUAACUUCGUG